rnacentral:rRNA from 1 species
AUUGAACGCUGGCGGCAGGCCUAACACAUGCAAGUCGAGCGGCAGCGGGAAAGUAGCUUGCUACUUUUGCCGGCGAGCGGCGGACGGGUGAGUAAUGCCUGGGGAUCUGCCCAGUCGAGGGGGAUAACUACUGGAAACGGUAGCUAAUACCGCAUACGCCCUACGGGGGAAAGCAGGGGACCUUCGGGCCUUGCGCGAUUGGAUGAACCCAGGUGGGAUUAGCUAGUUGGUGAGGUAAUGGCUCACCAAGGCGACGAUCCCUAGCUGGUCUGAGAGGAUGAUCAGCCACACUGGAACUGAGACACGGUCCAGACUCCUACGGGAGGCAGCAGUGGGGAAUAUUGCACAAUGGGGGAAACCCUGAUGCAGCCAUGCCGCGUGUGUGAAGAAGGCCUUCGGGUUGUAAAGCACUUUCAGCGAGGAGGAAAGGUUGGUAGCUAAUAACUGCCAGCUGUGACGCUACUCGCAGAAGAAGCACCGGCUAACUCCGUGCCAGCCGCCGCAGUAA